rnacentral:rRNA from 1 species
UACGUAGGGUGCAAGCGUUAAUCGGAAUUACUGGGCGUAAAGCGUGCGCAGGCGGUGAUGUAAGACAGAUGUGAAAUCCCCGGGCUCAACCUGGGAACUGCAUUUGUGACUGCAUCGCUGGAGUGCGGCAGAGGGGGAUGGAAUUCCGCGUGUAGCAGUGAAAUGCGUAGAUAUGCGGAGGAACACCGAUGGCGAAGGCAAUCCCCUGGGCCUGCACUGACGCUCAUGCACGAAAGUGUGGGGAGCAAACAGG